rnacentral:tRNA from 1 species
GCACCCGUAGUCUAACUGGAUAAAAUCAUGGCCUCCGACGCCAUUGUUGUGAGUUCGAGCCUCGCCGGGUGCACCA